rnacentral:rRNA from 1 species
GAGAGUUUGAUCCUGGCUCAGGAUGAACGCUGGCGGCGUGCUUAACACAUGCAAGUCGAGCGAAGCAUUAAAACAGAUUUCUUCGGAAAGAAGUUUUAAUGACUGAGCGGCGGACGGGUGAGUAACGCGUGGGUGACCUGCCUCAUACAGGGGGAUAACAGACAGAAAUGUCUGCUAAUACCGCAUAAGCGCACAGUGCUGCAUGGCACAGUGUGAAAAACUCCGGUGGUAUGAGAUGGACCCGCGUCUGAUUAGCUAGUUGGUAAGGUAACGGCUUACCAAGGCGACGAUCAGUAGCCGGCCUGAGAGGGUGAACGGCCACAUUGGGACUGAGACACGGCCCAAACUCCUACGGGAGGCAGCAGUGGGGAAUAUUGCACAAUGGGGGAAACCCUGAUGCAGCGACGCCGCGUGAAGGAAGAAGUAUUUCGGUAUGUAAACUUCUAUCAGCAGGGAAGAAAAUGACGGUACCUGACUAAGAAGCCCCGGCUAAC